AGAUUGAACGCUGGCGGUAGGCCUAACACAUGCAAGUCGAGCGCGAAAGUGCCUUCGGGCGCGAGUAGAGCGGCGGACGGGUGCGUAACGCGUAGGAAUCUGCCUGGUAGUGGGGGAUAACUCGGGGAAACUCGAGCUAAUACCGCAUACGCCCCAUGGGGGAAAGCGGGGGACCUUCGGGCCUCGCGCUAUCAGAUGAGCCUGCGUCGGAUUAGCUAGUUGGUAGGGUAAUGGCCUACCAAGGCGACGAUCCGUAGCUGGUCUGAGAGGAUGAUCAGCCACACUGGGACUGAGACACGGCCCAGACUCCUACGGGAGCAGCAGUAGGGAAUAUUGGACAAUGGGACGAAAGCCUGAUCCAGCAAUGCCGCGUGAGUGAUGAAGGCCGUUAGGGUUGUAAAGCUACUUUUGGCAGGAAGAAACGGCGUACCCUUAAGUACGGGCGUCGACUGACGGUACCUGCAGAAUAAGCACCGGCUAACGUACGU
rnacentral:rRNA from 1 species